rnacentral:rRNA from 1 species
UGGGGAAUCUUGCACAAUGGGCGAAAGCCUGAUGCAGCCAUGCCGCGUGGAUGAUGAAGGCCCUAGGGUUGUAAAAUCCUUUCGCCAGGGAUGAUAAUGACAGUACCUGGUAAAGAAGCCCCGGCUAACUUCGUGCCAGCAGCCGCGGUAAUACGAAGGGGGCUAGCGUUGUUCGGAAUUACUGGGCGUAAAGCGCGCGUAGGCGGACUCUUAAGCCAGAUGUGAAAUCCCGGGGCUCAACCCCGGAACUGCAUUUGGAACUGGGAGUCUAGAGUUCAGGAGAGGUUCGUGGAAUGCCGAGUGUAGAGGUGAAAUUCGUAGAUAUUCGGAGGAACACCAGUGGCGAAGGCGGCUCACUGGCUCGAUACUGACGCUGAGGUGCGAAAGUGUGGGGAGCAAACAGGAUUAGAUACCCGCGUAGUCC